rnacentral:tRNA from 1 species
UUUGACUUAGAGUGGUUAGAACUUCGGCAAAUUUUUCGUUUGCUAUUGCAAAAGAGCCUCUCAUUUGGUAAAAU